UAGUCGCUCGCUUUUUUCAAGUAGACGGAAGCAAGAAACGAAAAACAUGUCGAAAACUAAUCCACAAAGGCCACCAAGUAAAGCUACAAUAAAAAGUAAGAAGCCGUCACUAGCGUCAUCAAUUACUAAAAUACCUGACGCUCCUGAGAAACCUGAAUCUGUGCAUGAAGAAAAAAGUAUAAGAAUUGAGGUGAAAGAGAUAUAUGUCACACCUGUCUCGACUCAGAACGGCUAUAGGCGAAAACAACAGCCGUCUGUGGAGCUAUAGGCGUUGCCAUUGAGAGGUUUAUAAAAUCGCGUUGCAGA